GCAUUGAUAGUCAUAUUUGGUUUCCAGUUACUAUAAAAUGUUUGGUUUCUCAAUAACAUUAAUAUUUUCCUAGAAUAUAGAAAAUAUAGUCCUUGUAAUUUAACAUGUUACUCUUCUUUCUGAAAUAAGGUUUUACUGGGUGUUUAAGAAAUCAUUUUGAAAUUUAGUCAUCAACCUAACUUGUUAAUAGUAAGUUAUAUAAAGUGAAUAAUUUUUAGAUAUUAGCAGAGCAAUGAAAUCAUACUGUUCUAUUUUAUAUGAUCUUCUAGCAUUCUAUUUGUAAAUGGUGGCAGCAUAAGUAAAAAAUGCUGGCAUCAUUGACUUUGUUCUAUUUUAAUGUACCUAAUGCAGACUGGGACUUGGGGGUUUGCCUGGAGUAUGAGUGUAAAAGAAAGCAGCUGUUAAAACCUGUGUUUUUAAAUUCUUGGAUUGAUCUCAGAGCAACUUACAAGCUUUUCUAUAGGAGAAAACCAAAAGGACUAAGUGGUGCCUUGCAGGAAGUAGGAAUAGAAUUCUCAGGACGAGAACAUUCUGGGUUGGACGAUUCUCGGAAUACUGCCCUUCUUGCUUGGAAAAUGAUCAGAGAUGGUUGUGUAAUGAAAAUUACAAGGUCGUUGAACAAGGGUCCCUUCCUCUUGCCUUCGUGGACCUGGAACAGUGAUCUGGCCUCAGGGGACCAGCAUGCUUUUCUUCAGCAAGAAUUUGGGUAUUUCUUCAAUUUCUUGUCUUUUGGAUUACUAUUCAGGACAACCAAUCUCUCAAGAAAGGGUCAAGUACC
rnacentral:lncRNA from 1 species